ensembl:sense_intronic Gm43166 predicted gene 43166
UAUGUUUCCAGGGGUAGCACUUUUACUGUAUAUUUGACCUCUGACUUAAAAUAAAAAUAGCCUGCUCUAGUUUCAUCUCUGUUGCUGUGAUAAAAUACCCUAAUUAGGGAAGAAAUGGUUUAUUUCAGCUCACAAUUACAGUUAUGGUGGGAAAUUUAAGUCAAGUUAAAACAUUACAUCCACAGUAGGGAAAGAAUGAACACUUGCAUCCUUGCUUACUUCAUCUCAGCUGGCUUUCUCUUAUGUUCAUAGUACAUCACAACCUCUUACCUAGGGAAUGGUGCCACCCACAAUGGGCUGAUCCUCCUACAUCAAUUAACAAUCCAGACAAUCCUUUACAGACAUGCCAGAAGACUAACCUGAUUUAGAUAAUUCCUCACUAAGACCUUUUUAUUUUAUUUUUUUUUAAACUUGCACAGUCUUAUUCAUACCAUGACUCUGAAGGAGUUUAAAUCAGCCCUGGCUGAUUUGUGGUGAAUGUAGCCCCACCCUGCACACAGAACAGCUGGGGAUUGAACUCAGGUCAUCAGUCUUAGUACCAAGACCUUUUGCAAUGAACUGUCUCACAAGUCCCCUCCAUUGCCUUUGUAGAUUUGGGUCAUUGUUGUGGUUUGAAUGAAAAUGGCCCCCAUAGACUCAUAGGAAGUGGCAUUAUUGAAAGUGUGGCCUAGUUGGAGAAAAUGUGUUACAGGGGGUGGGUUUUGAAAUUUCAGACACACAAGCCAAGCCCAAUGUCACUCUCUCUUUGUGCUAAUUCUGGAUACAGAUAUCGAACUCUCAGGCACCAUGUCUGCCUGGAUGCUGCCAUGCUUUCCACCAUGCUGAUAACGGACUGAACCUCUGAAUUGUAAGCCAGUCCCAACUAAAUGUUUGCCUUUAUAACAAUUGCCAUUGCUAUGGUGUCUAUUCACAGCAAUAAAACCCCAAUGAAGACAGUUAUUUACGUGAUUCAGAGAUAAUCAUGUUGACCACAGUCCCUAGUGUGAUUUCUUUAGUGGGUGAAUUUGUGUGUUUCUGGAGGAAGAGGAGUUCUAUGACUUUGGGUCUUACUUUUUAGGAGUCCAAAGUUCUCUCGUUUAUUUCUCCAUCCCUACUGUGUGUUCAGGGUCUGCCUUUUCUGUCCUCUUAUCUUUUCUCUCAAUGCAAGGCCUGUAAUUAUGCUUAUUUACAGGCCAUCCGUAUUACAGGUACUUGAUGUACCAGGGAACAUUUUUUUUCCCCACUUUGUCACACCUGAUCUGGAAUUUCCUAGUGGUUGUUAUUAUGUUUAACCAUCCUGGCUUCUUGCCAGCUUCCUUCUAUGUUCCAUGCAGGGUUUCCCUAUCUGCCCUUUCUGGGUGAAAGCUGACAAGGAAGGAGGGGGAAAUGAACAGUCACUGGUUGGCCAUGAUUAUUUUUCAACAUAAGCAUGAGGUUUAAGGGAGUCUCCGUUUUAAAAAUCACAGAGUUAUAGUUUUAUAUGGUUUGGGGGUGCUUUUUAAAAAAUAACUAUAGAAUGCAUUGAAUUUGUGGACUAGCAAAUUUUCAUUAUUGCUUUUUGAAAAAACAAAAUAUUUUCUUUGUAUACACACACACACACACACACACACACACACACACACACACACACAAAAUCUGCUCAGUCUGUAGAGUGGAACUUGUAUGUGUUUACACGACUAACCACUUGGUAUCAGAUAACUCAUUUGAUAUGCUCUUCCCUGGGGAAGAUUGCUUCUCCCACUUAGCGUUCUUUACUUGCCUGUAGUCCUUUGCAUCGGCUCCAUGCCUUGUAUGUAGUCUUUCUUCUGUCCACAUGAGUGUAUCUAUUGUUCUUGUCUUUGCUCAGCUCACAUGAAGGCAGUCAUGUUGAUGAGACUUUGUGGAUAUAGCUUCUGACAUUACUAAGAGACACAGCAUCACAGCAAUCUCCCCACUCCUCUGGCUCAUGCAAUCUUUCCAUCCCCUCUCCCGUGAUGUUCCCUGAGCCUUGGGUACAGGAGUCAACUUAUAGAUGUAUCCAUUAAGACUGGGCUCCUCAGCUCAAUGUUUUGAUGACUGUGGGUUUCUGUAGUUGUCUCUGUUGCAAAGAGGUGUUUUCUUCAUGAGGAGUGAGGAUUACACUUAUCUGUCAGUAUAGGCCAAAUAUUUAGAAUGUGUUUAGGGAUAGCGCUAGUUUAGCAAUGUGGCAGUUGUAGGUUCUCCCCCAAGGCCCAUGAUUUCACUAGUCUGGAUACUUGGCUAGGUUUCUUUUGUGUUGAAGGGGCUUUAAAUCCAAUUACAGAGCUGUUGAUUAACACCAAAGUCUUUUUAUUUUUAACUAUGUGAAUUUAUCUUUAUUUAUGCCACAUGCAGUCUAAUGGAGUCACAUGGAGGCCAGAGAACGUAUCAGAUUGUCUGGACCUGAAGUUACAGGCGAUUGUGAGCUGCCUACUGUGGGUGCUGGGAGCUGAUUAUGGGUCCUCUGGAAGAACAAUAAUCACUCUUAACCACUGAGUCAUAUGUUCAGCCCCUGUCAUUCAUUAAUAUGUGCAUUCAAAACGAACAUAUUGAUCACUAGUAGAACAUACUAGAAACAGUAGCUGCUUCCUGAUUUCAGUGAUUGGCCAAUAGCAAGUUUUUAACCCCACCCCCAUUAUCUCCCUCAUCUCCCUCUAUAUCUCUCUAUGCAAUAUAUAAUAUAUAGUAUAUAAUAUAAUAUAUACUGUAAUUUACAAGUGUGUGAGUAUGUGUGUAUGUGUAAUUUACACUUUUCUAUUAGGCACAGAGACACUGGCAGUCUAAUGUGUGAAGCUCUUCAGUGCCUGCAAUGGCACACAGUUCAGGAUGGCUUUAUGUCUUUAGUACUUGCAAAAGUCAGGAGUGUUGCACAUCUGCAUUCCCUGAGAAGUGGGAGGUAAAUAAUUACUUGUGUGUACAGGUGUACAUGCACGUGUGUGCAUCUAGAAGCCAGAAGACAAGCUUGGGUAUCAUUCCUCAGGCUGGUGUUCGACUUGGUUUUGUUUUUGAGACAGCAUCCCACUGUCCUGGAAUGGGCCGCGUAGGCUAAUCUAGCUGAAUAGUGAGACCUAGAUAUUUAUCUGCUUCCACCUCCCCAAUACUGGGAUUACAUGUAUGUGCUAAGAUAAUGGCUUUUUAACAUGGGUCUGGAGAUCCAACUCCCAAGGACAGCCUUGAACUCCUGCAUCUGCCGCCCCAGUGAUGGGAUCAAAAGCAUGGAGCCAGUGCAUGUGGCACUGGAGAUGGAACCAGAGACUCAAACACAUCAGGCAACCUCUCUACUACCUGAACUGCAUCCCUAGACCUUCUGCCAUCUUUCCUUUCAUUACCCCCCCCACACACACACCCUAUUCUUAGAAAUUCUUACAAGGUCUCUUGUAGUCCAAGCUGGCCCCAAACUUUCUAUAUGGCCGAGGGUGACUUUGAGCUCUUGAUCCUCCUGCUUCCACCUCCCAAAUGUUAGGUCACAGGCGUGUGUCACCAUGCCCCACUGGAGCAGUUCAAUUUAAACAUGGGGGAUCACAGGGAGCCUUUAUACAACUGCUUCGAUAUCAGAUUACACUCUGUAGGUUAAUGUCAGCGCCCUGUGGUUUGUAUUGUGUUUGGUCACACUGUAUGAAAUUGCUGAUCCUUGUCCAGAAAUGACAAUUUCAUUCAAUACAGUCUACCACAUCCAUCCUUUGAAAUUUUUCCCCUGUACCAUUGAGCUAGUGGCUUCAUUAAUGAGAACAGUCAGGUAACCACACUCUUUCUCAUCAUUAUGAGUGAAUUAUUUAUUUAGUUUCAGCUUGUCAGGUUUUUUUUUUUUUCCCUUACAGAAGUUCUUAUGUCCUGAGGCCAAGUGAAUUAUUCACACUUAACUGAAAGAUCAGUUGUGGUUUUAGCAGUGUCUUAGUACUCCUCAACUUCUGGGGUCACAUUCCAAUGAGCCUCUGUGAGUUGAAUAUAUCAUAAGUCAAAAUGCAUUUAAAAUUAAAAUUCAGAGCUGGGGAGAUGACUUGGUGCUAAAAGUGCUUGCUUGCUGCACAGGCAUGAGAAGUAGAGUUCAGAUCUCCACAAUCCUUAUAAAUGCUGGCUGAGUGUGUCAACGGCUUGUAAUUCCAGUCUCUGAAUGGGGAGGGGGGAUCCUGAGAUCAAGCUGGCUCGUAUGACUAGCCAUGCUGGUGGGCUCUGGAUUUGAUUGAUAGACGCAGUCUCAGUGAAUAAGGUGGAAGAGUCAUGAAGGUUGAUUCUUGACAUUAACCUUGAUCUCCACAUAUAUGUGCAUGAGUAUAUAUAUAUACACACACACAUAAAUGAAAAAACUUACAGUGUAUAAGUCUAGAUUCCCUAUAUUCCCUGUAGUUAGAAGGGUGAAGCAAGAGGAUGGGUUUUAGGACAGCCUGGGAUACAUGAGAUCCUGUCUC